rnacentral:rRNA from 1 species
GACGAACGCUGGCGGCGUGCUUAACACAUGCAAGUCGAACGGAAAGGCCCCUUUGGGGGUACUCGAGUGGCGAACGGGUGAGUAACACGUGAGUAACCUGCCCUUGACUUCGGGAUAACUUCAGGAAACUGGGGCUAAUACCGGAUAGGAAUCCUUGCUGCAUGGUGGGGGUUGGAAAGCUUCGGCGGUUUUGGAUGGACUCGCGGCUUAUCAGCUUGUUGGUGGGGUAGUGGCUUACCAAGGCUUUGACGGGUAGCCGGCCUGGGAGGGCGACCGGCCACAUUGGGACUGAGAUACGGCCCAGACGCCUACGGGAGGCAGCAGGGGGGAAUAUUGCACAAUGGGCGGAAGCCUGAUGCAGCAACGCCGCGGGCGGGAUGACGGCCUUCGGGUUGUAAACCGCUUUCAGCAGGGGCGAAGCUUGUGGUGACGGUACCUGCAGAAGAAGCACCGGCUAACUACGUG